rnacentral:rRNA from 1 species
CAGUAGCCACGGUAAUACGGAGGGUGCAAGCGUUAUCCGGAUUUAUUGGGUUUAAAGGGUCCGUAGGCGGACUUAUAAGUCAGUGGUGAAAGCCUGUCGCUUAACGAUAGAACUGCCAUUGAUACUGUAAGUCUUGAGUAUAUUUGAGGUAGCUGGAAUAAGUAGUGUAGCGGUGAAAUGCAUAGAUAUUACUUAGAACACCAAUUGCGAAGGCAGGUUACCAAGAUAUAACUGACGCUGAGGGACGAAAGCGUGGGUAGCGAACAGGAUUAGAUACCCCAGUAGUCCAUGUCUCUUAUAC